GAUGAAGAACGCAGCGAAAUGCGAUACGUAAUGUGAAUUGCAGAAUUCAGUGAAUCAUCGAAUCUUUGAACGCAUAUUGCGCUCUCUGGUAUUCCGGAGAGCAUGCUUGUUUGAGUAUCAGUAAACACCUCAACUCCCUUUUCUUUUUUGAAAUGGGAGCUGGACUUGAGUGAUCCCAACGCUUUUCUCACCGGAAAGUGGCGGGUUACUUGAAAUGCAGGUGCAGCUGGACUUUUCUCUGAGCUAUAAGCAUAUCUAUUUAGUCUGCCUAAAAACAGAUUAUUACCUUUGCUGGAGCUAACAUAAAGGAGAUUAGUUCUUGUGCUGACUGAUGCAGGAUUCACAGAGACAGCUUCGGCUGACUUUGUAAACUCGAUCUCAAAUCAAGUAAGACUACCCGCUGAACUUAAGCAUAUCAAUAAGCGGAGGA
rnacentral:misc_RNA from 1 species